GAGUAAUGACGUCACCUGGCAACGCUCGGCUUCUUCUCCUUAGCGACUAGCUUCUGAGUUUCUUCAGCCCAGGAACCCAACUUGUCGCUGUCUCGUUCGUAGCCAGGAAAAGCUGGUGUUUUGACUUGGUUAGGAAUACAGAGAGCUCUUUUAAUUACCUGAUGGAGUUUUAUUCGACGAAGUGAACUGUCAUGCUGUGAACUGCCUAUGUAAAAGGCCAUGUAGCAAGCAAAGAACUGAGGCCCUCACUCCAACAGCCUGCAAGGAACUGAAUUCUGCUAACAACCACAUGAGCCUGGAAGGGGAUCUUUUCCAGUUGAGCUUUCAAAUGAUACUCCAACCAUGGCUGACCCCUUGAUUGUAGCCUUGUGAGAGACCAUGAAGCCAAAGACUCAAUUAAGUUGUGCACAGAUUCCUGACCCACAGAAACAGUGAGAUAAUAAACAUGUUGUUUUAAGCAGCCA